rnacentral:rRNA from 1 species
UACGUAGGGUGCAAGCGUUGUCCGGAAUUAUUGGGCGUAAAGAGCUCGUAGGCGGUUUGUCGCGUCUGCUGCGAAAACCCGAGGCUCAACCUCGGGCCUGCAGUGGGUACGGGCAGACUAGAGUGCGGUAGGGGAGAUUGGAAUUCCUGGUGUAGCGGUGGAAUGCGCAGAUAUCAGGAGGAACACCGGUGGCGAAGGCGGGUCUCUGGGCCGAUACUGACGCUGAGGAGCGAAAGCGUGGGGAGCGAACAGG